rnacentral:ncRNA from 1 species
GCGAAGGCCUAAAUCUUUGGGCCUUAGUCUAGUAAUAGACUACAGCAAACCAGGUGAAUUCGGUGAAACCCCAUUGGGGCAAUACCGAGCCAAGCCCGUCCAAAAGACGGGAAGGUGUAGAGACUAUCCCUUUUGGGAGUACUGUCCGCUCUAUAGCGGAUGGGAAGCGCCUGGCCCCGCCGAAUCGGCGGGUGAUGAUAUAGUCCAAUCCUUGGAGCAAUCCAAGU